UACGCUAGCUACAGGCUUAACACAUGCAAGUCGAGGGGCAGCACUAGGUAGCAAUACUGAGGUGGCGACCGGCGCACGGGUGCGUAACGCGUAUCCAACCUUCCCGUUACUCUUGGAUAGCCUUCCGAAAGGGAGAUUAAUACAAGAUGGUAUUCAAAUUCCGCAUGUUAUUUGAAUUAAAGAUUUAUUGGUAAUGGAUGGGGAUGCGUAACAUUAGGUAGUUGGUAAGGUAACGGCUCACCAAGCCUACGAUGUUUAGGGGUUCUGAGAGGAAGGUCCCCCACACUGGAACUGAGACACGGUCCAGACUCCUACGGGAGGCAGCAGUGAGGAAUAUUGGUCAAUGGACGAGAGUCUGAACCAGCCAAGUAGCGUGCAGGAUGACGGCCCUCUGGGUUGUAAACUGCUUUUAGUUGGGAAUAAAAGAUAGCACGUGUGCUAUGUAUUGUAUGUACCGUAUGAAUAAGCAUCGGCUAACUCCGUGCCAACAGCCGCGGUAAUACGGAGGAUGCGAGCGUUAUCCGGAUUUAUUGGGUUUAAAGGGAGCGUAGACGGGAGAUUAAGUCAGCCGUGAAAGUUUGAGGCCCAACCUUAAAAUUGCAGUUGAUACUGGUUUCCUUGAGUGCGGUUGAGGUGUAUGGAAUUCGUGGUGUAGCGGUGAAAUGCUUAGAUAUCACGAAGAACUCCGAUUGCGAAGGCAGUACACUAAGCCGUAACUGACGUUGAGGCUCGAAAGUGUGGGUAUCAAACAGGAUUAGAUACCCUGGUAGUCCACACGGUAAACGAUGAAUACUCGCUGUUGGCGAUAUACAGUCAGCGGCCAAGCGAAAGCAUUAAGUAUUCCACCUGGGGAGUACGCCGGCAACGGUGAAACUCAAAGGAAUUGACGGGGGCCCGCACAAGCGGAGGAACAUGUGGUUUAAUUCGAUGAUACGCGAGGAACCUUACCCGGGCUUAAAUUGCAGAGGACAGCUCAAGAGAUUGAGUCUUCUUCGGACCUCUGUGAAGGUGCUGCAUGGUUGUCGUCAGCUCGUGCCGUGAGGUGUCGGCUUAAGUGC
rnacentral:rRNA from 1 species